rnacentral:rRNA from 1 species
UACGUAGGGGGCAAGCGUUGUCCGGAUUUAUUGGGCGUAAAGAGCUCGUAGGUGGUUCGGUAAGUCGGAUGUGAAAUCUCCAGGCUCAACCUGGAGGGGUCAUUCGAUACUGCCGUGACUAGAGUUCGGUAGGGGAGUGUGGAAUUCCUGGUGGAGCGGUGAAAUGCGCAGAUAUCAGGAGGAACACCCGUAGCGAAGGCGGCACUCUGGGCCGAUACUGACGCUGAGGAGCGAAAGCGUGGGGAGCGAACAGG